CUGAAAAAUCUCACAGAAAUUGGCUAUCUGCUCACGAAAAGAAGGUGGCUAUCAUCUUGGAAUGGCCUUAUCUGUGAGGAGAAGUGCAGAUUCCGAAACUACAAUUGUUUUAAUGGCAAAUCUCAAGUGCAUCUGCUAUUGAAGUCACUGUCUUUGUGCAUAAAGAAUACAAGGACUGGUGAAGAAGCUCAAUGUCUGGUGGAUCAUGAAGCAAAGGUCCAGGGCACAUCACUUGUGGACCAGACAGUGAGCAACACCAUCAGGGAAACAUGAGGAACCUUCAUUUAACUCAGGAGAAAGCAGAAUAUAGAAGAAGCUACUUGAUCAGAUGACAAAUGACCAUGAAAGGUACCCUGGUUGACCCAAGUUUGGGCCAAUGCUCAGCCAAAGUCCAAUUCACUGUAAAGAAGAAAACAGGAUGGGAUUUUACAAAACGUCUGCGCAAUUGUAGCUGCUAUGAAGGUGG
rnacentral:lncRNA from 1 species